UUGUCAUAAUGUGCAAGAACAAGCCCAUUCAUGAAUGUGGAUUGCUUAGCAUUUACAGGGUAUACGCUCUACUUGUUUUGUUUUCAGUUUCGAUCGGCGCCCGCAUCGUUUGAUCGGGGCACAGAACACUGUCAGCGGGUGGUCGGCGACGACAGCCGCUCGUCCAGACUCAGACUCAGAGUUCGAGACGUGGACAUGGACGUAGAUAGUUUUGUAAUGGGUUGUUAGAGCGGGGCGGGUGGGAGAGUUUGUUUUGGCAGGCCGUAGACAAAGUUGACGUACAGGCAGCUGUCAAUGUGUCAAUAUUAAUUUAAUAUGUCAAAAAUAUAAUCAUACGCAAUUUUAAAUUGAGUUAUAAGGGGACACACGAGACGCCUCCUAAUAGAGCUGUAACGGGGUGGAAAACUGAAGUGCUUCGAGAACAGAAUUUGAGAAGGAUACGAAUCGACAGCAUGUUCGUACAAUCUGCGCCACUUUAACUAUCUACACAGACUAGAUAAAACCCAGCUUAAAUGAAAAUCAGCCAUGACAAUGGCCCAGAGCAUUUUCCGAAGCCCAAGCUAUAACAAUUUGUUAAUGAGCAAAUUACAUGGUAUUUGUGUAUAAAUGCCAAGUUCAUUACCUACGCGAGUGCAUAAAUUACAGAGUGAGGCACACACACACACACACAUAGGCACACACUUUAGUUACACGCCCUAAAAGUGAUUCACUGAAGAACGCCCCCUAAUUUCUAAAGAAUUUCGAGCGUAUAAACCAAGUGAUAGGCCAAACAAAAAAAAAAAACCAACUAUAAAAACUGUUGAUGCGUAAAAGGAUGUGCCCUUUGCGUAGGUAAGUGUAAGUGUGUACUUAUCAUUUCCUUUCGAGAUAUGUCGCAGGGUUGUCAGGUUUAAAAAAUAAAUUACAUUUUAGAUUUGAAAGAAAACUAUCUCUAAAAUAGAAUUGGAGAAUACCACGUUCAUAAUACAGGCAGCUUAAGGGCUUAACUACUUUGACAACAUUUAUGUUGAAUUUUUGAAUUUUUAAAUGAUUUUGUUCUAAGUGUUGCUGAAGCUUUCUUUUGGGUCACAUGUGAGCACUACGACGGGGUCUUGGAAAAUUCGACCUGCAAGUAUGGAAAAACGGUGCUCAAGCUUAUCUAAAAAAAAACAUCAACAAUGACAGAGUCAUAUAAUUGUGCUAUGCAAACGUGACGACACGAGCCUGCAUGGCUUAGGUGUCUGAGCGUCUGACUAACAAACGCGAGGUCGCCGGUUCAAACUCAGCAGCAAUUGUGAAUUUUCAUAUUUGUUUAAAGGGCAAAGACACGUGGUGGGAGUUUCAGAGGCUUUGUAUCUGGCUGGGAUCAGCAACUCUCUCGCUGGCACAUAGUUGAACGUGGAAACCCUGUCUGCACAUGCAACUCUCGACAACUCUGUCCCGACUGCAAUUAGAGUGGCACACGUGUGCUCGUUCUUACCCCCGGCUCCUCAUAUGGGUGCUUCGUUCGUGUACAUCUGAGUAUAUAUUCUAAACAGUUGACUUGUG